rnacentral:rRNA from 1 species
AACUGUCUCUAUUUUAAUAUUAGAAUUUAAAUUUUUAGUUAAAAUGCUUAAAUUUUUUUAUAGGACGAGAAGACCCUAUAGAUCUUUAAUUUGAUAAUUAUUUAUUUAUUUAGUAUAAAUUUUAUAUAUAAUUAUUAUAUUUUUGUUGGGGUGACAUUGAGAUAUUAUUAACUCUUUUUUUUCUUAAUCAUUUAUUUAUGUUUAAUUGACCUUUUAUUACUGUUUUAAGAUUAAGAUACCUUAGGGAUAACAGCGUUAUUCUUUUUUAGAGUUCAUAUCGACAAAGGAGAUUGCGACCUCGAUGUUGGAUUAAGAUUAUAAUUUGGUGUAGAAGCUUAAUUAUUAAGUCUGUUCGACUUUUAAAUUCUUACAUGAUCUGAGUUCAAACCGGAGA